rnacentral:rRNA from 1 species
UACGAAGGUCCCAAGCGUUAUCCGGAUUUAUUGGGUUUAAAGGGUGCGCAGGCGGUCCUGCAAGUCAGGCGUGAAAUCCCCGGGCUUAACCUGGGAAUGGCACUUGAAACUACGGGACUGGAGUAUGGCAGAGGGAGGUGGAAUUCCACGUGUAGCGGUGAAAUGCGUAGAGAUGUGGAGGAACACCGAUGGCGAAGGCAGCCUCCUGGGCCAAUACUGACGCUCAUGCACGAAAGCGUGGGGAGCAAACAGG